GUCAAUGCGCCAGAAAGUCACCAGAAAUGUUGCCAGAACUGGAAACUUGUCAGACCAUGACAUCUGAAGUUGUCGAUGGCCACGACUUCUGUUUCCAAGAAAUACCUACUACCUAGUUGUUUUUGUCCUCACAUCACUCAGUUGAGCUUGCACCUAGGGUCCAAGAGCCCCUUGCACCUUUAAUAACUACGAAGCCUCAUUUUCAUCCUUACAAAGUGGCCUAGUUGAAUAGCACAGAUUUGAAGAAUCAAAUAAGAUGCUUGAUAACUUAUUCAAUUGGCGGGCUAGUUGAAGAGGUGGAAUGUGAUAUCCUUCCUCUUAAAGCUUGACAUAAUCUUUUGGAUUAUCCUUAGCUAUUUGAUAAGAAGGUGCAGCAUGAUGCCUAUUAUUAUGGAAAGUCAAUCACUA
rnacentral:misc_RNA from 1 species